UGUGCCUGUUACUCCUUGUGCCUCCAGUGCUUCUCCUUUGUUAUGCUAUAGACCAAAGGUCUAUAGCAUAACAAACUACAGCCUCCAAAAUGGCUUUAUCUGACCAAACCUUAAAGACAUCACCAUGUAACCUCAUGUCUCUUCGUUUAGUCAGCCAAUUAGCUUCUAUCCUGCAGAUCUAAUCUCAGAUUUAAACCCAGACUUUAACAUCGGAAUACUGUUUUGUGACGACUGAACAACAGCUGCAGUUGCAGCAGAUAAGCUGACAGUGUGUUUUUAAGCCAAUGGUUUGUCAUGUUUACUCCCUUUUUUAGAUUGAAGAAGAGUUCAGAUGCAUUACAACAGAUCACCUGCAGAGAACCUUUCUGAGCAAGCUGGACCUCUACACUUAAAACUGCAAGAGAUAUUUAGCAAAAAAGGAGGUGUUGCUGGAACAAAAAUAAGGCCUCUGCUGGAAUCGUUCAGUCAGAUAAACAACAUGUUGAAGCUCGAUGGGAGGCCAUUAUCCGCUGCCUGAUGGAAUUCCUGGGGGAGUCUUGAGGAAAGCUUAUCAAGGACUACAUGGAUGACAGCAGGCAAGCCAUGAAAGAGGACCAGGCUAAGCAAGUUCUGAAGAUCUGUGUCUUCCAUGAAAGUGAGGGGUUUAAAAUGCAGGUUCAAGUGUAUUCAAUUAGUUGACGAAAUGGCAAAACUGUAUAUAGUUGUGGUCUGUUUGUAAGAGAACAUGUGAAGAAAAGGAAAACGAUGCAAUUUUGUCUCCUUACUUAAAAUACUAUUCUUUUGGAUGAUUGAUUUGGAUGCUGUAUAAGGCAUCAUCUUGGAUGAAAUAGGGUUUAAAUAUGUCAGUGUUCUUUUGAAGUGUUAGUUGUUAAAUAUGUUACUGGAUAAAAAGCAACAAGGCAGAUCAUUUUCUACUCAAACAGUUCCUUAACUUGCUUUUUGCUUCUCAGCAUAAAAAACCCUUGAAGUAUGUUUGUUGUGUUUUUUUUUUUUUUUGAUAAAUGGUGUAUCUGUCAGAUAGCCAGAGCAUGUUCUAUUAGAAAUGCCCCGAACUUAACCCCUCAGAAAAUUAAAAAAAAAGAGGUUUUCAUGAAAGUUUUGUUUCAAAAUGCAAUAUAUGUUCCCAAAAGUAUUAUUGAAAACACCUUUAAGUGUUUACCUGUGAAUGCAAACUGAAUAUACACAUUUGUGUAAUA